rnacentral:rRNA from 1 species
GAUGAACGCUGGCGGCGUGCCUAAUACAUGCAAGUCGAGCGAACAGACGAGGAGCUUGCUCCUCUGACGUUAGCGGCGGACGGGUGAGUAACACGUGGAUAACCUACCUAUAAGACUGGGAUAACUUCGGGAAACCGGAGCUAAUACCGGAUAAUAUAUUGAACCGCAUGGUUCAAUAGUGAAAUACGGUUUUGCUGUCACUUAUAGAUUGAUCCGCGCCGCAUUAGCUAGUUGGUAAGGUAACGGCUUACCAAGGCAACGAUGCGUAGCCGACAUGAGAGGGUGAUCGGCCACACUGGAACUGAGACACGGUCCAGACUCCUACGGGAGGCAGCAGUAGGGAAUCUUCCGCAAUGGGCGAAAGCCUGACGGAGCAACGCCGCGUGAGUGAUGAAGGUCUUCGGAUCGUAAAACUCUGUUAUUAGGGAAGAACAAAUGUGUAAGUAACUAUGCACGUCUUGACGGUACCUAAUCAGAAAGCCACGGCUAACUACGUG